GGCNAAAGGGGCAGUAAUGCAUGGGUAACCUACCUUGGGGAUGGGCAUAGCCGUUCUAACGGACGGGUAAUACCCAGAGAUUCGGCGGGAGGGCAUCCUUCUACCGGGAAAUGAAUUUCGCCUCGAGAGGGGCCCAUGUGCUAUUAGCUAGUUGGUGGGGCAACGGCCCACCAAGGCUAAGAUGGCUAGCGGGUGUGAGAGCACGACCCGCGCCACUGGCACUGAGACACUGGCCAGACACCUACGGGUGGCUGCAGUCNAGGAUCUUCGUCAAUGGGCGCAAGCCUGAACGAGCGACACCGCGUGCGCGAUG
rnacentral:rRNA from 1 species